rnacentral:rRNA from 1 species
GAACGCUGGCGGCGUGCCUAAUACAUGCAAGUAGAACGCUGAAGAGAGGAGCUUGCUCUUCUUGGAUGAGUUGCGAACGGGUGAGUAACGCGUAGGUAACCUGCCUUGUAGCGGGGGAUAACUAUUGGAAACGAUAGCUAAUACCGCAUAACAAUGGAUGACACAUGUCAUUUAUUUGAAAGGGGCAAUUGCUCCACUACAAGAUGGACCUGCGUUGUAUUAGCUAGUAGGUGAGGUAACGGCUCACCUAGGCGACGAUACAUAGCCGACCUGAGAGGGUGAUCGGCCACACUGGGACUGAGACACGGCCCAGACUCCUACGGGAGGCAGCAGUAGGGAAUCUUCGGCAAUGGGGGCAACCCUGACCGAGCAACGCCGCGUGAGUGAAGAAGGUUUUCGGAUCGUAAAGCUCUGUUGUAAGUCAAGAACGAGUGUGAGAGUGGAAAGUUCACACUGUGACGGUAGCUUACCAGAAAGGGACGGCUAACUACGUGCCAGCAGCCGCGGUAAUACGUAGGUCCCGAGCGUUGUCCGGAUUUAUUGGGCGUAAAGCGAGCGCAGGCGGUUUGAUAAGUCUGAAGUUAAAGGCUGUGGCUCAACCAUAGUUCGCUUUGGAAACCGUCAAACUUGAGUGCAGAAGGGGAGAGUGGAAUUCCAUGUGUAGCGGUGAAAUGCGUGGAUAUAUGGAGGAACACCGGUGGCGAAAGCGGCUCUCUGGUCUGUAACUGACGCUGAGGCUCGAAAGCGUGGGGAGCGAACAGGAUUAGAUACCCUGGUAGUCCACGCCGUAAACGAUGAGUGCUAGGUGUUGGAUCCUUUCCGGGAUUCAGUGCCGCAGCUAACGCAUUAAGCACUCCGCCUGG